AAAAGAUUCAUCUGAGAACGUAUCCCUUCCUUCUAUCUUCCCACACACACUUCAUCCUCUGCUUUCAAUCUCUUUUCUCUCCUAAAAACUCUUCUGAAAUGCCCUUCUUCUCUUGGAUCCCUCUCUCCCGAAACCCUAUUUCUCUCUCUCUAUUUCUCUCUCUCAAGUCUCUUGCCCGAUCGAACCCCAUUUCCUUUCAUAGUUGUCGAUCUGUACAAUUAUUGAGUUUUUGAUUUGUAGAUUUAAUCCUUUCAAAUUGUAAGUUUUUAAGUGAUCACAAGUUCCAAUUCUUGUUUCUAUUGCUGCCAUUAUAUGUACUUGUCUAGUGCUUGUAAGCAUGGGUCUCCAAGAACAUUCUUUAAUUUGUUGU
rnacentral:lncRNA from 1 species